GAAACCAAAGUUCGCAGCUGAAAUGACACAUCAGGCAAUUACUUAUGUCCUGCCCCAUGAGCAGGAAACUGGCCCAGACUAGAUCAGAGAGAGCAGCAGCUUCUGGUUUUCAGCACCACCAGAAUCCAGGGCUUUCCAAUCUAAGCUCCCAAUAUUCAUGCUGAUUUCCCUUGGGUGCAGUGCUGAGAUUUUAAGUGCCACCCAACAAAUUUGGUGAUGGAAGUGGCUGUGGUGUAUUCAACUCUUCAUGGACCACAGAACAACAAUGAUGUCCAGGGGUUUUCUUGGCAAGGAUCCUGGAGUGGUUUGCUGUUUCCUUCUCCAGUGGCAAAUAAAGACAGGUAUACUGAUGCUGCCCACCCAACUGAAUGCUCAAAUCUGGACCACAGUUGUUCUUCAUCCUCCAGGUCUUUCCAAUGUGGCCGGUCAGGCCAAACUCUUGUGUGGGUAUAAAUCUCUUCCUUGAGCUUCUGCAAUGCUUCUGGACUUGAUGAAAUCAGUACAAUCACCCAGAGAUCUGUCAUAUAGCAACAUGGAUCACAAUAGUUUCUUUUUUUUUUUUUUUAAAUAAAACCCUUACCUUCCAUCUUGGAAUCAAUACUGUGUAUUGGUUCCAAGGCAAAAGAGUGGUAAGGUUUAGGCAGUGGGGAUUAAGUGACUUGCCCAGGGACACAGAACUGGGAAGUGUCUGAGGCCAGAUUUGAACCUAAGAUCUCCCAUCUCUAGGCUUGGCUCUCAAUCCACUGAGAUACCCAGUUGCCCCUGGAUCACAAUUAGUUUCUGAAGACCAGAGAGGCACAAGUAGAUGUGAGAAGACUGCAAUAACCAAUGAGGAACUCUGAGUAGAAGUAAGAGUUGUGCUCAGAAAAUGGCUAAAAGGAAUAGAAUACAGGUUAGUCAAAUGGCCAGGGCAAGAAAGGACAAGUGAACAGCUGGGUGUUCUACUGGUAUCCUUACAAAGUUGGGAGAAAGGAAGAAAGUUCCCCAGUAUAUUGGGUGGACUCCUGUGGUAAACUUAUGGGAGGUGGACAAGAACUACAUAAGUAAGAAGGCUUAAAAUCUGCACUGCUGGAAGGAACAUCCAAACUGAGUUCACAAAUUUGUUUGAGGAGUUACUGAAAUUCUUUCUCAAGGUCAAUGACAUUUAAAACAGAUUUUUUUUUUGUUUUUACAUUCCACACUAUCUUAAAGUUUCCAUUGAAAAUUCGCUGCUAGUGAUAUAUGUGACAAAAUGGAUUCUUUUCUGGUUACCACUUAAGUCCAAUAUCAUUCACAAACAUGGAAAACUUAGACCUCUCUUUACUUCUGAGCAUUUUACUCCACACUUCCCUAUGUCCACAAGCAGAUUUUCAUGACCAGGUCCAGCAAAAUAACCUGUGAGCUUCAAGAAACCCACUUUCUGCCAAUUUUAGAUUAUGCAGGCUAUAUAUAACUAUGAGUCAAUCACCAUGCAUUUAAAUACCUACUAUGUGCCAGGCACUAUGCUAAGGGCUGGGGAUACAAGGAAAGGCAAAAGACAAUUCCUGCUCUCAAGAAACUCAGUCUUAGAGUAGUAGUCUAAAAUAUGUGGGCUUCAUUCUUCCAAAGUGUCUCAAUCUGAUCUCACCAGGGCACAUGAACAGGGUUGGUUUAUUUUAAGGUAUAAUUCCAAUGAAUCACAAAUGAUGGUUUAACAGACCAGAGAGGCAAUAAUUAAUUACUAGUUCCAUGACCGAUCAACACUAGACUUUUCUCUGUGGAGUUAGUAGCUCUAUGAAAAGAGAACAAUUCAAUAGUGGUUUGUGAACAGGCAAAUGGACUUCUGGUCCUGCUGAAGAACCAUAUUUCAACAUGUUUUGUAUCAGAAAUUACAGGUCUAAAAAAACAAUUCUAAUUUCAUUUUUCAUAGUAAAGUAAAAUUUUGUUCUUCAGUUUAACUGAUAGUCUAUUAACUAUUUAACUGAUAAUCUAUUCAGGCACUAAAGAAAUUCAAUAUGUGGAAAUCACAGUUCACAAUUUCAAUACCUCCCUUCUCUUUUCCCUGUCUCACAUCCAGAUCCUGUUCCAUCACUUUAAAAUCCCAGAAAAGGGCUUUUAUUUCCAAAAAACUUGGUAAAAAAAUCUACUCUACAAACCGAGCAGGAAAAUGUUCUUUGCUUACAUAAAGAUAAAGGAUUUCUUGGAAAGAAAAAUCAAGAUUUUUUUAACCCUGAAUAAGGAUUCUCUUAACUUUAAACAAGGAUUUUUAAAAUGAAAAGAUGCUUUUGCAUAGUAAGCAGGCACUUUAAAAUGUUGAACUGUUAGUACACUGGGCAGUAAUCUCUUCAAGAUACAGACCCCAUAAUCAGUUAGAUCAGUAGUUGGAUAGAUGAUAUCCUUUCAGAAUAAUCCUGGAUUUCUGCAGGAAUAGUGUGAAAUGAAUAAAAAUUAUUGAAGUGAAAUGAAAUGCAUUAAUCUUUAAGUAAAAAGAAAUCAUACAACUUUGUAACAAUUUUAAAAUAUUUUAUACUAUCUCUAACAGAAGUAUGUUACUGAUGUGGAAAUCAAUUUUGGGAAUUACAUGAACAUUAGGCUUACAGUUUAAUUAAUGGUAUUACCUGACAAAUCACAUACCAAUAAGCUGCAAACACAAGUAUUUUUCACAAAGUAUUUACAAUAGACACCAAGGGAAGUGAUUUCAAUACAAAUUUAUGGUGCACAGCUUUGGUUAAAUUUAGCUUAAGUCAUCCAUCUCUAGAAAUACCACCACAGCACAGUAAAUUAACUACAGGCAAAUACACUUUUAAACUAAACUGCUGGAUUCUUAAGUAUGUAAAUCUAGCCUGCAGAAGC